UUCGCGUAAAACAAAGUGUGUGCAAGUUUCAACUCAAUUUGACUCUGUGCAAUUUUGUGGAGAAAUGCUGUCAUCCAUGCAGUUUUAGGGAUACCUUUGGGUGCUAUCUGUUUGAACAAACUUUUUGGAAAUCUACUAGAUUUUACGAUUUGUCGGGUGAGCUAGCCGCUAGGAGACUCAUAACUCUCAGUCAGGAAGUAGCCCAGUUGACACUUUUUACGUUGAUCAGGCGCCAACGCAGCCUGGGACAUUGCUGGUGGACCCUCGAAC